GUACCGGUACAACGUCAUCCUCGAAGCUUCCAUAUCUUCAUCACUAAACCCUAACGCCUUUUGCAGAGCGUCCAGCACCGCCUUACCGCCGACGUGAGGAAGAAAGUGAUCGACGGCGUUGCCGUAACUAGGAAUUGAUAUUUGGAGGUUUUGUGAUCGGACUGGCGGUUGGAGAGGAGGAUCGCGGCGCCUCCAACGCGGAACAGGCAGUUGAUGAGGAAUUUGGAUCGAUCUUCUCCGAGUUUUAGGGAUAAAAGACAAAACUUAGCCUGGAAUAAGACACUUUAAACAGCAAGUGGUUAGGGCAUUGUCGACGGUCUACGGGCACCGGAAAUCGAGGAAUCUCAUCCGUCCAAGGGUUAUCGUCACUACAAUUUACGGUCUUCAUUGCACGCCAAAUAACACUACUACACUUAAAACCCGACCCGAAGGCAAUCUGCCAGACUUUAUUACCUUCUUUGACCCGACCCUUUGCUUCCACGUACGCCAGCUCAUACCAUAUUGAACUACUGGAUGUGUUUCCGUACCUGUACAAUGUCAUUCUCGAAGCUUCCAUCACUUCGUCUGAUAAUCCUAGCGUCUUCUGCAAGUCAUCGAGAACAGGUUUCCCGCCAACGUGAGGAAGAAAGUGAUCAACGGCGUCACUGUACUUAGUUCUAGUGGCACAAGACAAAAUUUCAGCACGGAAUUGGACACCAGAUGGGAAAUGAUUUGGUAAGUAAGCUUCUAAAGUCUUCAAUAAUACUUGUGCAUGCAUAUGACCAGUCACAAGUAUUAAUGUAUUCGAUAAAAGGCGGUCAAAUGGGUGAGCCGUGUGGGUUUAGUAAGGUGAUAAAACGGUUUUGCUUCAUACUGAGUAUUCUUUUGUAUGGGGUGAAACAAGUCAAGCCGUGUUGAGUUGACCUAAAACACUAUUUGUCAUUCUUUUUUUUCCUUUCCAUUUUAAAAUUUAUUGUGUGUUAAAUUAGAAAGAAACAUAUUUGAUGCAACAAUAGUAUAAUAUUUUGAACAAAGCGAUUUAGUAGAUUGUUACAACAAUAGCAUUUAAAAUACACCUUGGGUGACUUUCGACCCGUUUCUUUUUAGCUAAGUGUAUUGACUCGUUAAAGAUGAAACAUAAACCAAAACGUCCCAUUUCUAAGUGAAUAUCCAUCGCUAGUGUUUGUUGUUUUAGAUAACAAGUGUAUUAUAAUAGAUAUGACGUUGAAGUACUUUGUUUUAUAGGCGGUUAAACUAACUACACUAAAGGAAAAGUUUUGGUAUUUUGGUCUUUGACAACUUUAGAGAUACAAUAAGUUUGUUGGACCGGAAUUAGGAUUUUAACCGACAUGGUAGUUAGGCCAGUACGCUUAAAAGAGUCUUUGGUGGUAUUUACACAUGCUUACGGCCGAACAAUACAUGUGGACAAAUUCCCACUUUCUUUUUUUACUUUGAUUUGCCGUCUAGACUUUGCCGUCUAUUCAAAAGGGGGUGGCGGCGCAACUUGUUGCCCGACUACCUGCCAUUGCUUUGUAAUUGCCCUUUUUCAUGUGGAAUGAUAUAAAAGAUAUAGAUAUGAAAAAAAAAAAAAAAACCCUUAUAAACAUCCUGUACGGUUGCAUUUAGGUAUACCCUUGAAUGGUUGUAGUUUGCAUUGUGUAUGCAAACAACACAUUUAUUGAACUAACACGGUUGCAUUGCUACACUAAUAGCAUAUACAUGUUUAACAGGUCUUAAAGUGAAGACCUAGGAUCACUUUAAGAACGUUUAAUAAUAAAGUUGGACUUCGCUAACUACCUAUGCGCAAAGUUUUAAAAUUUUGGUUUGUAAAGAUUACGACACUGAUUUUAUAUCGACAACUAAUGAGAUCUAUGGGUACCCACGACCUCGUGGUCCAGUGGUAUGGUGUUUGCCCACAUAAAAGUGACGUGAGUUUAAAUCCUUGCUAGGUGGUAUAUAGGUGUAAAAAAUUGCAGUUGAUUGAUUUCCUCUUUUUGCAACAUAUGAUACACCUUAAAUAAUAUUUUGAUGAUUUGUAACAAUUAAGAGCAUUCACAAUGGAUCCCCUAUAUAUUUGUGAGUAGGUUAUUUAUAUUAUAAGGAAUGGUUGUGAGUGGUUUUUAGUGGAGGAAAGAGAAAAUGUUACUAUUCUUAUGUAAAUAUAUGCUAAACACUGUUCACCCCUAUACAAUUUUUAAUAUUCUUUGAAAGUGUUGUGAGUGGAGGAGAGAGAAAAGAAUGAUAAAGGUAUAAAAAAUAUUAUUUAAUAUGAAAAAAGAGAGAAAACUAGUGAUUUUUAGUGUAACUAUAGGAAUAAGGAAAAGGGAUUGAAUGUGAAUGCUCUCAAUAGAAAAUGAAAGAUAACUUGAAGGAACUGUUUAGCAAGUCCUAUUGCCAAAAGUUCUGCACUGCAUCCCAUCCUGUUAACUAUAAUGCUAUGUAGGUGUGUCCUUCAUUAAAAAAUUUGAAUUUACAUUAUGUUCUAAUAGCUUAUAAAUUAUAACAUGUAUUCACAUGUUUUUUCAAGAAUUAGUUACACAUAUGAUUCAUGUGGUCUGUCUUGAUGUAGUUUUGCUCCUCAAGUCUGGUAAAUUAUACGCUUGGUCCAAAAUUAUGCACGAACGUAACACGUUUGGCAUCUAGAUGUUAAUACAUCUUUUUAUUUAUAUACAUUAUAAUAUAAUGAUCUAGACAUUACAUCCACUAGUCAUGUUAAAACACAUGAUAUUAUCAAUAUAGCUUCGAUUUGAAAUGUAAUUGCAACAUUACAUUUUAACUGGUAACUAAUUUUAUAAAGCUGAUUCAGAAAAGGAAAUAUUCGAACAACUUAAAAAAUUAAAACAAAAUAUUAUUGAAAUUAACUUGAAGGUGCGAAAGCUAUUGGAAAAGGUCCAAAUUCCGUAGUAGUCACCGGAUAUCGAGCAAUCUCAUCCAUCCAAGGGUUAUCAGCACCAUGAUUAACGGUCUUCAUUGCACGCCAAAUAACACUACUACACUUAAAACCCGACCCGAACGCGAGCUGCCAGACCUUAUCACCUUCUUUGACUCGACCCUUUGCUUCAACGUAAGCCAGCUCAUACCAUAUCGAACUACUGGAUGUAUUUCCGUACCUAUACAAUGUCAUUCUAGAAGCUUCCAUCACUUCGUCCGAUAACCCUAGUGUCUUCUGCAAGUCAUCGAGAACCGGCUUCACGCCAACGUGAGGAAGAAAGUGAUCAACAGCGUCGCGGUAAUUAGGUACGUGCUGCUGGAUCUUCAAUAACGGAAGUAGUUUUCUCGCGAUGUAGAUUACUUGAUACGCAAGUUUCUCUGUUAGCGGAAGAAUUAGGUGACCUACGGUGAUUAGGUUAGGUUUAAUUGUGGCUAUGGCGGCAGCUAGGAGGUCUCUGUUGACAUUGACGCCGAUUAUUCCGGCGUUAUCUUCUUCCUGAUAGAUGCUGUUGUAGGAUCGAUCGGAACUUGAUGUGUUAUCGUGAAUUGUGUGAAGAAGUUCGUAUUUAGAGGUUUUGAUGUCGGUAGGGCGAUUGGAGAGGAGGAUUGCGGCACCUCCGGCACGGAAGCAGCAGUUGAUAAUGAUCUUGGAACGGUCUUUUCCGAUGUAGCAGUUUUCGGCAAUGCUUUCUGUGCUCACUACCAAUGCGUAGGAGUUGUGGUGCACCUGUUAUGAUUAGCAAUUUAGUAAGUUUGAUUUGCAGUUUCUAGAUGCUUGUUACCUGCUAAAUGCACAUCGUAAUAGAAGCAUAGCUUAGGGAAAAUAGUAACAUGCUUCCGUUUUUGUCAAUUGUAUCACAAUUUGAUGAUAACUUGGUAAAUUGGACAAAAACAUAUUUUUUUUUUGCGAGAAAAUGUGUAUAGAGUAAAAUGGAAAUCGGUCUAAAACGAGUUGCUGCGUUACACCCUGCAUUAUAUGGUAUUGACCUUUAUGCUUUAUAAAUUAUGGUCCAAAAGUCGGACCGUGGGUAUUUUAUACACCAUGUGGUGCAAUUGCGAAAAAAGUUGAAUGGCAAAGGUUAUUGUUAGAUACAUGAAUCUUUCACAGGCCUAAGCUAUUAAUCUGGUAUAAUAGUUUUUAUAUUCUCUUUCAAAAUCUAGUACGUCUUGAGCAAAAAAUGACAGAAACUAUAAGUUUCAAAAACAUGGUUGAUGAUUACGCAAAGUCUUGUACGUGAUUAGGAGUAGUGUAAAUUACCUGAAGGAGCUGUUUAGCAAGUCCUGUUGCCAGAAGUCCUGCACUGCAUCCCAUUCCAACAAGAUUGUAGGUGAUGAUGUUUUCUCUAAACUUAUACCGGUUCACUAUCAUGCUAGAAAGAGAUGCUACUGUGUUAUAAAUACUACAAUUCACAAUUAGGAUCCCAAUUUUGUCAGUUCCUACACCUGUGUUUCGCAGAAGCAUGUCUAAUGAACCGAAUAUGGUCAUCUCCACUUCCCUUCGCGCAUCUUUCCUCAAUGGUUUAUAACUUUCUCUUAAUAUGGGCUCUACCAAAUAAGUAGAGUCACCAAGGCCACCUCUAUCCAUAGCACGUUUCAUGAAAUCCAGCAAGUCUUCCGUUAAAUAUCCGUGCUGUCUUGUUUGCUUCACAAAAAACUCCUUUGAGCUCUUCUGAGAAGCUGGAGGCUUGUAACAGACAAAAUCUAUCAAGUAAACUUUGCAUGAAGGUUUUUUGUUCAUGACAACACAUAAUAGAAGAAAAAGACACACGAGUAAUGCUAAAUACAUAACUCCUGUAUUGGAGUUUAUGAUAGGGUGGGUAAGGAAUUCCGGGAGAUCUUUUAAAUUGAGGUUCAUAACGAACAUGAUUGUUGUAUGAAAUCUUUUCAAGGGCCAAUUGUCUUCCUGUCAAAAGUUAUAAGAAUGCAGGGUGUUCUAACUGAUCUUACAAAUGUUAUGGAGAUAGGUAUACAACAUUUAGUCGUGCAGUUCGUUUGUAUUAGAUAGCUAACCUGCUAAAAGAAUACUGUGUUUCUAUAUAUAUAUACACAUAUAAAUUUGCAUGGUAUCAACUGACUUAAAUGUAGUCUGUUUCAUGUGUAUCAAACUGGAGUUAAUGCUAAAAGUUAUUAUCGAUCCUAUAUUAGAGAUAUGACGUCAAAGUACUUUGUUUUAUAGGCGGUUAAUCUAACUACAUUAAAAGAAAAGUUUUGGUAUUUGGGUCUUUGAUUUAGUACAACAAAUUUAGAGAUACAAUAUGUUUGUUGGACCUGAAUUAGCAAUUUUAGCCGCAUGGUAGUUAGGCCAGUAGGCUCAAAAGAGUCUUUGAUGGUAUUUGCACAUGCUUAUGGCCAAACAAAACAUGUGGACAAAUUUCCAGUUUCUUUCUUACUUUAAACUGCCGUCUAGACUUUGGUGAAGCCGACUCUUUUAAACUUUCUGUACAGUCACCAUUGAAUGGUUGUAGCUUACAUUGUGUUGUACAGUCAUCAUUGAAUGGUUGUAGUUUACAUUGUGUAUUGCAAACAACAUGUUUAUAUAUAGAACUCAUUUAUUGGUCUUUACGGUUGCAUUGCUACAGUAAUAGCUUACUACAUAUUUAACAGAGGUUAAAGUGAAGACCUAGGUUCACUUUAAAGACCGUUUAAUAAUAAAAUUGGACUUCACUAACUUUCGUAUGCACAAAGUUUUUAAAUUUGGUUUGUAAAGAUUACAACACUGAUUUUAUAUCGACAACUAAUGAGAUUUAUGGGUAGUUGGGUACCCGCGAUCUAGUGGUCCAAUGAUAUGGUGUUUGCCCAUAUAAAAGUGCCAUGAGUUUAAAUCCUUGCUAGGUGGUAUUUAGGUGUUAAAAGUUGCAAUUCAUUGAUUUCCUCUGUUUGCAACAUAUGAUACACUUUAAAUAAUAUUUUGAUGAUUUGUAACAAUUAACAACAUCAAUAAAUGAUGAAAGAUAACUUGAAGGAACUGUUUUGCAAGUCCCAUUGCCAAAAGUUCUGCACUGCUUCCCAAUCUGGACUAGAUUGUAGGUGAUGAUGUUUCCUCUAAACUUAUACCUAUUAACUUUUGGUAUGGGGUAAUGGAAUGAGCGAGGUAAU
rnacentral:lncRNA from 1 species